UGCCAUAAUGGAGAUGUAUUGUAUUGUAUGUAUUUGGUUUCGAUUCAUGUUAGGGUGAUUGGUGUAGGAUAAUUGGCCUUCUGUGAUGUUUGCAAUGGCAGGAGGGGUGGUACUUAGCCUUGGAAAUCUCUCAACUCAGUAUGCUUGGGCUUUUGUUGGCUUAUCAGUCACAGAAGUGAUCACUGUAAGCAUAACAGUUGUUAUAGGAACAACCUCGAAUUACUUUUAGACAAUAGAAUUAAUAGAGCCGAGAUCCUUUUCCCUGGUGUUGGCUGCUUCUUGGUUGCAGUUUGCCUUGCUUCUACUGUCCACUCAUCUAAUGCAGCUGAUAAUAAAGAAAAGCUUGAAGGUUUUUCAUCUAAAGAGGGGUGUUUGGGAAAAGCACUCUCAUUGGACUGUCCAUAUGUUUCUUUGCUGGUGUAUGCUUUUCUCUAUUCUGACCAGUAUUCAACUUGGCAACAAAUGAUCAAUGUCAUACAUUGAAAGAUGGGGUUCCUCACUUGGUUGUCUACACUGCAUUCUUUUACUUCUCAGUAUCUUGUUUUGUCCUUGCUAUAAUCCUCACAUCACAUUCCUUUACUACCCUGUGCUG